CCCUUAGAUGUUCUGGGCCGCACGCGCGCUACACUGUUCGACGCAGCGAGUCUUAACCUUGACCGAAAGGUUUGGGUAAUCUUCAGCAAAGUCGAACGUGAUGGGGAUCGAUCAUUGCAAUUAUUGAUCGUGAACGAGGAAUUCCUAGUAAGUGCAAGUCAUCAGCUUGCGCUGAUUACGUCCCUGCCCUUUGUACACACCGCCCGUCGCUACUACCAAUUGAAUGGUUUAGUGAGAUCUCUGGAUUGACGCUGGCUAGGGGGCGACCCUUGGCCAGACUGUUGAGAAACUGCUCAAACUUGAUCAUUUAGAGGAAGUAAAAGUCGUAACA
rnacentral:rRNA from 1 species